rnacentral:lncRNA from 1 species
ACCUGCAAGAGCAAUGUGUGGACUUCAGAGCCCUUCUGAUGAUGCACGAAAGCAGUGAACACAGGGGGAAAUAGUGGCUGUACAGCAGAUGGCAACGUCAGGUCAAGCUAAGGUACAUUUAUAGAAUUGGGGCUUUUUUCCAAAGGGAACUCACCAGAACUCAAUUCUGGCAUCUCUCAGGUGGGUGUCAUUGCCAUUUUAAGAGAAAGAAGGAGGCAUUCAUGGUGAGUUCCAGCACCUCUUUUUCUAGAAAAAUAACACUGUAUAGGACAUAUAUAAAGUAUACUUUGCCUCUCCACUGCAUGAUGCCAGGAGCUGUUAGCUGUUGUUCUCCAGCUUUUAAACAUGUCUGUAUCUGUCCAACAGUGCAGACCAAGCAAGGCCUCUGAUAUGCUGCUACCUGGAGUUGGUUGAUGUACAUCAAGCAGAUGGGCAGGUGGCACAGUGGCAAAGGGGCAAGUCAUGUGCCAACUUGCUGAAAUUUCAAAGCACGCAAGGGAAGACAGCUUGGGUUCAGGCAGGGCUACUAUUUUAGAUCAAGAGUGGGGAAAGAGGUUUGAUAGGGGAAAAGCAAAGUCAAAGACCCACUCUUAGGUACUGUAUGCAAAGAUGAAAGGAUAAAGCACUGCAAUUUUUAAGAGCACUCACUAAGUUUAUUUUUUCUAUAUAUAAAACCUCCCAAAAGCUAUAGCAGUAUCAGCACAAGAAGAGCGAUCCCCUCUUUGGCAGUUAAAGCAAUGCAAGACUUUGCAUGCAUGCCUUUGACAUAGGCCUCUUUAAGGGGCAGAUCUACUAGGAAACUAAUGAAGCUUAAGCCUCAGGGCCCCUAAACCUAGAGGGGCCCCAGAAGCAACUUUAAUUGACAUUGCUUAAAAGUUUUGGGUAUAGUAGACCCAAUUUGAGUUUGUUGUUCUUGUAUCUAUUUCAACAUUCCCAGAGUUUGAGAGUCAGUAGCACAUUGAAGAAGAUAACAGGGGUUACCUAGACCUUGAUGUUGAUUGUGACAAUUCAAGCUUCAGGGCCCACAAAAUGUAGGUCUGCCACUGAUUUGUACAUAACUAGAGCCACUCUGUGUAGUAACAGACAGCUGGCCAUAGAUAUAGUUGUUACUAAGGAGUAAUCACAUGUUCUCUGAAAUGUAUUAUUUAUUUGUUCAUUUGUUUAUUGAAUUUAUAUACCACUCUAUACCUGGAGGUCUCAGGGCAGUUCACAGAUUUGUUGAUGUUGUUGUUGUUAAUUUAUACCCCACCUUUUACCUAACAGGUACUCAUGGCGGUUUACAGAUAAAAUGAGAGCCACUAAAAUGUGCAUAAACAUAUUUUUAAAACCAUACAAAUGAUUACUACAAAAAGAUGUGUGGCACCAGCCCUUUCAUUAAAAGCAAUUAGUUCCCAAAGACCUGUUGGGACAAAAAGGUUUUUACCUGCUAGUGGAAGAACAAGGAGGGAGCAGCUUACAGAUACCCUGAGCUUCAGCUAUGUAGGGUGUUAUAGGUCACAACCAACACUUUCAAUUGUGUCCAGAAAAAGACCAGUAGCCAGAGGAGAUGUUGUAACAAGUCUGCUCCCUAUAAAUGUAGAAGGGGACUGCCCCCUGCCCUCCAUAAAUGAUGAUCCUUGCCUAGAUUGGGGAAGUUUGGGGAGAUUGAGUGAGAGAGAUCCUUAAGGAGGAGGAAAUAACAAGAAGGAAUUCCCUCUCUUUUCACCACCUUCCUUAAGGAGCAGGACUUUUAGUUGCUCCUUAAAGGCAGUAACAAAUUUAUAUUGUUCCUCUAUCACCAUGGACACCAAAUCCAAGGGGCUGAAGUGACUUCAGCCCCCCAUGUAGUUGAUGGGGCUGAGCCCCACCAAAGUUGAUGGGCAGUUGUUGAUGCCGCUGCUGCAAGGCAUGCCAAGUCACCACUGGCAUGAGACCUCCAGACUGCCAACACAAGGACUGCCACACCACUGGCAUAAGGCCUCCAGGCUACCACCACAAGGCAUGCUAGGCUGCCGCCGUUAGGAUGCCUGCUGCAAGCAGGCCUGCUAGGCCACCGACGCCAAUGUACUUCUAGAAGCUGGCACCAGAAGUGCGCUUCUAGAAGUACAUUGGUGGCUUCUGGAAAUGCGGCCACAAUGGCUCGUGGUGGCUCAUGGCAGCUCCACCUCCUCCUCCUCCUGCUGCCAUGGAGGGGAAGCAGCCCUCUGCCCAUUGCAGCAACAGCAGGAGGAAGAGCUGUCAGCAUUGCUGGCCAUGGAAACUGGGCUGCCACAUGACGCCUGCAUGUGAUGUCAUGACUUCACAUGCAAAGUCAUGACAUCGUGAUGACAUCAGCCCCGCCAUCUCCUACCUGAGUUGGUGUACAUCUGCAAACUCUGUCCUUUGGUUUUCCUAGGUAAGAAUCAGAAGGUUUUCUUAAAAGAGGCAAGAGGAACAUGCCCCGCCAUUCUUUGCAGCUUGAUAGACCAAAUGGGUGAAACUCAGCAGCCACCCAUAUGAUACCUGCAGUGAUACCCAAAUCGUGACACAAUUGGCUCUGUGGUUUCUAGGCAUCCUAGAAGUGUUGGCUCCUAAAGACCCCCCCCCCGUAUAGUCUAUUUCAUGGGUUAUAUUUUGUAAGACAAAGCAUUCACGACAGCUCCUUCAAUAGCUCCUUCAAUAGUGGUGCCCUGAGCUACCUGCUGUCAACUAGCAAGUCAUUUUUAAAGUAGCUCACUGAAAACUAUUCUAUGUGCUUCAGCAAUCCAAAAGAUAAUUACAAGAACUUUGGCAUGCUUUAUGCUCUGCUCUCCAUAGGGUGCCUGUUCUCCACUGGAUUCUCCUAGCCAUUCGGAGAUGGGUCAAUACCACAAUCCCUAGGAAGGAUGUAACCUGCGGUGUUGUGUUUUGAUGUCUUUAGACAUGGUUUUCUGGUUCCCCCAGUAGGCUUAUGAUGCUGCCUGUGGAGCAUCACUCUUCCCUUGGAGAUCUAGUCAGUGUUGAGGACUUACUCCUCUUCUCUGAUUGCUCAGUGCCGGCAGCUUGCUGGGUUUAUGAGUGAAUCAGGACUUCAAGCACACGGAUGGCAGCUUGGAGAUAGCUUUGUGACUUCUCCUGAAGUUGUGCUGAAAAUACACAGCAAGGCCCCCCCUCUGUGGCUGAUACAAGCCACGGAAAGCCACUACCAGAUUUAUUUGGAAAGAAGCAAGAAACAAUCUUCUAACCUAAGUGCAUCCUCUAAGCAUAGAAACGUAUGUAUUUAAAGCAACACUAUCCAUGCAAAAUAGGCAGACAACAGCAGGCCUGGAGGAGCCCAGCAGUUUGAGGGCAAAAUCUUUUGGGGAGAAAAAACAAAACUGGAGGUCCCUUUCCCGAAACAGCUCACUGAACUGAACAUAAGAGAGUCCUGGAUCAGACCAAAGGUCCAUCUAGUGCAGCAUCCUGUAUUCACAGUAGCCAGACAGAUGCCACUGGGAAGCUGAAAAACAAGGACAUGCAUUACUAUGUGUAGUAUUCUUUUAUUCUUUAUUAAAUUUCUAUACUGCCCUUCAUCGGAAGAUCACAGGGCAGUUUACAAUAU